UACGUAGGGUGCGAGCGUUAAUCGGAAUUACUGGGCGUAAAGCGUGCGCAGGCGGUUGGUUAAGUCUGAUGUGAAAGCCCCGGGCUCAACCUGGGAAUGGCAUUGGAAACUGGCUGGCUAGAGUGUGGCAGAGGGGGGUGGAAUUCCGCGUGUAGCAGUGAAAUGCGUAGAGAUGCGGAGGAACACCGAUGGCGAAGGCAGCCCCCCUGGGCUAGCACUGACGCUCAGGCACGAAAGCGUGGGGAGCGAACAGG
rnacentral:rRNA from 1 species